UGUUGGAAAGUGAUGACCAAAGUGCAUAGUUCACCUGAAGUUUAUCUACUUCUGAUGACACAUUAGCUCUAUCUGAUUCCAUUU